rnacentral:rRNA from 1 species
AAUCAACGCUGGCGGCGUGCCUCAGACAUGCAAGUCGAACGAUUAAGACUCCCUUCGGGGAGUGUAUAAAGUGGCGCACGGGUGAGUAACACGUAAGUAAUCUACAUUCGAGUGGGGAAUAACGUCCGGAAACGGACGCUAAUACCGCAUAAUGCAGCGGCAUCUAAUGAUGACAGUUGUUAAAGAUUUAUCGCUUGAAGAGGAGCUGGCGGCAGAUUAGCUAGUUGGUAAGGUAAUGGCUUACCAAGGCUACGAUCUGUAACCGGUCUAAGAGGACGGUCGGUCACACUGACACUGAAUAACGGGUCAGACUCCUACGGGAGGCAGCAGUCGGGAAUUUUGGGCAAUGGGCGAAAGCAUGACCCAGCAACGCCGCGUGAAGGAUGAAGUAUUUCGGUAUGUAAACUUCGAAAGAAUGGGAAGAAUAAAUGACGGUACCAUUUAUAAGCUCCGGCUAACUACGUGCCAGCCGCCGCGGUAA